rnacentral:rRNA from 1 species
CCUACGGGUGGCAGCAGUGAGGAAUAUUGGUCAAUGGGCGCGAGCCUGAACCAGCCAAGUAGCGUGAAGGAUGACUGCCCUACGGGUUGUAAACUUCUUUUAUAAAGGAAUAAAGUGAGGCACGUGUGCCUUUUUGUAUGUACUUUAUGAAUAAGGAUCGGCUAACUCCGUGCCAGCAGCCGCGGUAAUACGGGGGAUCCGAGCGUUAUCCGGAUUUAUUGGGUUGAAAGGGAGCGUAGAGGGGUUGUUAAGUCAGUUGUGAAAGUUUGCGGGUCAAACGUAAAAUUGCAAUUGAUACUGGUAGUCUUGAGUACAGUUGAGGUAGGCGGAAUUCGUGGUGGAGCGGGGAAAUGCUUAGAUAUAACGAAGAACGCCGAUGGCGAAGGCAGUUUACUAAACUGCCACUGACAUUGAGGCGCGAAAGUGUGGGGAUCAAACAGGAUUAGAUACCCCGGUAGUC